rnacentral:rRNA from 1 species
AUUGAACGCUGGCGGCAUGCUUUACACAUGCAAGUCGAACGGUAACAGGCCUUCGGGUGCUGACGAGUGGCGAACGGGUGAGUAAUGCAUCGGAACGUACCCAGAGGUGGGGGAUAACGCAGCGAAAGCUGUGCUAAUACCGCAUGUGAUCUGAGGAUGAAAGCGGGGGACCGAGCAGCAAUGUUUGGCCUCGCGCCUUUGGAGCGGCCUAUGUCGGAUUAGCUAGUUGGUGGGGUAAAGGCCUACCAAGGCGACGAUCCGUAGCUGGUCUGAGAGGACGACCAGCCACACUGGGACUGAGACACGGCCCAGACUCCUACGGGAGGCAGCAGUGGGGAAUUUUGGACAAUGGGCGCAAGCCUGAUCCAGCAAUGCCGCGUGCGGGAAGAAGGCCUUCGGGUUGUAAACCGCUUUUGGCAGGAACGAAACGGUGUCCGCUAAUACCGGGCGCUAAUGACGGUACCUGCAGAAUAAGCACCGGCUAACUACGUG